rnacentral:rRNA from 1 species
AGUCGUAACAAGGUCUCCGUAGGUGAACCUGCGGAGGGAUCAUUACACAAAUAUGAAGGCGGGCUGGAACCUCUCGGGGUUACAGCCUUGCUGAAUUAUUCACCCUUGUCUUUUGCGUACUUCUUGUUUCCUUGGUGGGUUCGCCCACCACUAGGACAAACAUAAACCUUUUGUAAUUGCAAUCAGCGUCAGUAACAAAUUAAUAAUUACAACUUUCAACAACGGAUCUCUUGGUUCUGGCAUCGAUGAAGAACGCAGCGAAAUGCGAUAAGUAGUGUGAAUUGCAGAAUUCAGUGAAUCAUCGAAUCUUUGAACGCACAUUGCGCCCUUUGGUAUUCCAAAGGGCAUGCCUGUUCGAGCGUCAUUUGUACCCUCAAGCUUUGCUUGGUGUUGGGCGUCUUGUCUCUAGCUUUGCUGGAGACUCGCCUUAAAGUAAUUGGCAGCCGGCCUACUGGUUUCGGAGCGCAGCACAAGUCGCACUCUCUAUCAGCAAAGGUCUAGCAUCCAUUAAGCCUUUUUUUUCAACUUUUGACCUCGGAUCAGGUAGGGAUACCCGCUGAACUUAAGCAUAUCAAUAACCAGUCG